rnacentral:rRNA from 1 species
AUACGGAGGGAGCGAGCGUUAAUCGGAAUUACUGGGCGUAAAGCGCGCGUAGGUGGAUAAUUAAGUCAGAUGUGAAAGCCCAGGGCUCAACCUUGGAACUGCAUUUGAUACUGGUUAUCUUGAGUACAGUAGAGGGAGGUGGAAUUUCAGGUGUAGCGGUGAAAUGCGUAGAUAUCUGAAGGAACAUCAGUGGCGAAGGCGGCCUCCUGGACUGAUACUGACACUGAGGUGCGAAAGCGUGGGGAGCAAACAGGAUUAGAAACCCCGGUAGUCC